rnacentral:lncRNA from 1 species
UUUAAAGUUAAAACUAAACUAUUUACAACUAAAACCAGACAGAGCCAAAUGAAUCAAUUAAAAAUUUAAAUCAAGCCAAACUUUCCAUGCUUUCGACAAAUUUUUGGCGGAUUAGGACGGAUCAAGGGAAGAAAAAGAUCUCCCUUUGUUUUCUGCUCUAUUUCUUUAACGAUUUGAAACAAAUUCAGAAAAAUUAUUUUUAUUUUUAUUUUUAACCCUUAGGGUUAUUUAUUCGUAACGAAUCGGAGCGAGAGCUCUACUAAUCCCGAUACAUUU